rnacentral:lncRNA from 1 species
AGAAUCUUGACCCCGGUAUCCAUAAUGUGUGGAACUCAUGAUCAGAGAAUCCUGAUUCUCGAUCACUGAGUCUCAAACAUGUAGAAUUCUACAUCAGCCAUCAGAUCAAAUAGGAACCUCUAAUGUGUGUGACCCCGCAGGUUCGAACCUAAGCCGGUAGCACAGGAACCAAUUCCUGUACUAAUCGAAGUGACCAUCUAGCAAUGAUACCCGA